rnacentral:misc_RNA from 1 species
GAAGAACUACACAUAAGUAAUACACACAAAAAGUAGUAGUACUCUAUAUCUAAUCUUCUUCCUCAUCAGUGAUAAAUUUGCCAGUACCAGGAUUUAUAGCAGCAAAGAAGAAGAAGGCAAUGUUAAACAACAAAAGAGGCUCAAUCUCAUUGAUUGGGACACCUGUCUCAAAGUUCAAUUGUGCCAAUGCUCCUUUCCCUGUAAUAAUUUCACCUAUAAUGGAAAAUGCAAUUCCCAAUUGUGCCAAUCUCCCUACAAACAACUCAUUUGCCUUUGUGAAUCCAAACAAUGGACCUCCUUCACUGAGUCCCAAAGCAGAUUUGAAGGAUUUGCCAGGAGGGAUAACAGCCUUUUCAAGGCCAGUAGGAGGGGUAGGGUCAUCAACAAAUUUGCCUCUGUCUCCCAAAGCUCCAAUGGCUCCAAGAAGAUUGAAUAGAAUGAAGAACAAUAGAAGUGGCUCUGCUUCAUAGAUUGGAAUUCCAGUUUCAAGAUUUAAUUGUGCCAAAAUACCUUUUCCUGUUAUUGCUUCUCCCAACAAAGAGGCAGCAAAACCAAUCAUAGCAACACGGCCAACAAAUAGCUCAUUUUGCUUAGUGAAGCCAAUUCCUCCGGAGGUACCAAAAAUCCCAUCCUCCACCUUUUGCUUUUCCUUUGGUGGUGCAACCUUUUUGGGAGGAGCUUUAGCUUUUGACUUGAAUAGAGCAACAGUAGUACUAGUGAAUUUUGAAGAAGAAGCAUUAGUGGAAGAAGAAGAAAAUCUCAAAGGAAGAGAAGGUAGGAACAAAGAAGACAAAGGCUUUGGUUUUAGUCUUUCAACUAAAGAUUCUUUACUCCUUAAAUCAACUUUGGCAUUGGCUGUUAACAACAUUGUUUGAGCCAUUUGCUUAUUCUCAACAACUUCAAAAUUCCCCUUUGAGUUUUUUGAUUGAAAAAAAAUAAAUGAAGAA